UACGGAGGGGGCUAGCGUUGUUCGGAAUUACUGGGCGUAAAGCGCGCGUAGGCGGACCUGCAAGUCGGGGGUGAAAGCCCGAGGCUCAACCUCGGAACUGCCUUCGAUACUGCGGGUCUCGAGUCCGGUAGGGGAGUGUGGAAUACCUGGUGGAGCGGUGAAAUGCGCAGAUAUCAGGUGGAACACCCGUAGCGAAGGCGGCACUCUGGGCCGGAACUGACGCUGAGGAGCGAAAGCGUGGGGAGCGAACAGG
rnacentral:rRNA from 1 species